rnacentral:rRNA from 1 species
GAUGAACGCUGACAGAAUGCUUAACACAUGCAAGUCAACUUGAAUUUGGGUUUUUAACUUAGAUUUGGGUGGCGGACGGGUGAGUAACGCGUAAAGAACUUGCCUCACAGUUAGGGACAACAUUUAGAAAUGAAUGCUAAUACCUGAUAUUAUGAUUUUAAGGCAUCUUAGAAUUAUGAAAGCUAUAAGCACUGUGAGAGAGCUUUGCGUCCCAUUAGCUAGUUGGAGAGGUAACAGCUCACCAAGGCGAUGAUGGGUAGCCGGCCUGAGAGGGUGAACGGCCACAAGGGGACUGAGACACGGCCCUUACUCCUACGGGAGGCAGCAGUGGGGAAUAUUGGACAAUGGACCGAGAGUCUGAUCCAGCAAUUCUGUGUGCACGAUGAAGUUUUUCGGAAUGUAAAGUGCUUUCAGUUGGGAAGAAAAAAAUGACGGUACCAACAGAAGAAGUGACGGCUAAAUACGUGCCAGCAGCCGCGGUAAUACGUAUGUCACGAGCGUUAUCCGGAUUUAUUGGGCGUAAAGCGCGUCUAGGUGGUUAUGUAAGUCUGAUGUGAAAAUGCAGGGCUCAACUCUGUAUUGCGUUGGAAACUGUAUAACUAGAGUACUGGAAAGGUAAGCGGAACUACAAGUGUAGAGGUGAAAUUCGUAGAUAUUUGUAGGAAUGCCGAUGGGGAAGCCAGCUUACUGGACAGAUACUGACGCUAAAGCGCGAAAGCGUGGGUAGCAAACAGG